UACGUGAGCUGGGUUCAGAACGUCGUGAGACAGUUCGGUCCCUAUCUGCCGUGGGUGUCGGAGUUUUGAGAGGAUUUGCCCCUAGUACGAGAGGACCGGGGUGAACGUAUCUCUGGUGGAGCUGUUGUCGCGCCAGCGGCAGUGCAGCGUAGCUACGUACGGACGGGAUAACCGCUGAAAGCAUCUAAGCGGGAAACCCACCUCAAAACGAGAACUCCCUAAACAGAGCCGUGGUAGACGACCACGUUGAUAGGCCGGGUGUGUAAGCGCGGUGACGCGUUGAGCUUACCGGUACUAAUCGCUCGAUCGGCUUGAUUGCUCUCAUU
rnacentral:rRNA from 1 species